rnacentral:rRNA from 1 species
CCUACGGGAGGCUGCAGUGAGGAAUAUUGGUCAAUGGCCGUAAGGCUGAACCAGCCAAGUCGCGUGAAGGAAGAAGGAUCUAUGGUUUGUACACUUCUUUUAUAAGGGAAUAAAAGUAUCCACGUGUGGCUAUUUGCAUGUACUCUAUGAAUAAGCAUCGGCUAACUCCGUGCCAGCAGCCGCGGUAAUACGGAGGAUGCGAGCGUUAUCCGGAUUUAUUGGGUUUAAAGGGUGCGUAGGUUGUUUUUUAAUUUAGCGGUGAAAGUCUGUGGCUCAACCCUAAAAUUGCCGUUGAAACUGGAAGACUUGAGAGUGUUUGAGGUAGGCGGAAUGCGUGGUGUAGCGGUGAAAUGCAUAGAUAUCACGCAGAACUCCGAUUGUGAAGGCAGCUUACUAAGCCAUAUCUGACACUGAGGCACGAAAGCGUGGGGAUCAAACAGGAUUAGAUACCCCGGUAGUC